rnacentral:rRNA from 1 species
UUUUGUAUAAUGGGUCAGCGACUUAUAUUCUGUAGCAAGGUUAACCGAAUAGGGGAGCCGAAGGGAAACCGAGUCUUAACUGGGCGUUAAGUUGCAGGGUAUAGACCCGAAACCCGGUGAUCUAGCCAUGGGCAGGUUGAAGGUUGGGUAACACUAACUGGAGGACCGAACCGACUAAUGUUGAAAAAUUAGCGGAUGACUUGUGGCUGGGGGUGAAAGGCCAAUCAAACCGGGAGAUAGCUGGUUCUCCCCGAAAGCUAUUUAGGUAGCGCCUCGUGAAUUCAUCUCCGGGGGUAGAGCACUGUUUCGGCAAGGGGGUCAUCCCGACUUACCAACCCGAUGCAAACUGCGAAUACCGGAGAAUGUUAUCACGGGAGACACACGGCGGGUGCUAACGUCCGUCGUGAAGAGGGAAACAACCCAGACCGCCAGCUAAGGUCCCAAAGUCAUGGUUAAGUGGGAAACGAUGUGGGAAGGCCCAGACAGCCAGGAUGUUGGCUUAGAAGCAGCCAUCAUUUAAAGAAAGCGUAAUAGCUCACUGGUCGAGUCGGCCUGCGCGGAAGAUGUAACGGGGCUAAACCAUGCACCGAAGCUGCGGCAGCGACGCUUAUGCGUUGUUGGGUAGGGGAGCGUUCUGUAAGCCUGCGAAGGUGUGCUGUGAGGCAUGCUGGAGGUAUCAGAAGUGCGAAUGCUGACAUAAGUAACGAUAAAGCGGGUGAAAAGCCCGCUCGCCGGAAGACCAAGGGUUCCUGUCCAACGUUAAUCGGGGCAGGGUGAGUCGACCCCUAAGGCGAGGCCGAAAGGCGUAGUCGAUGGGAAACAGGUUAAUAUUCCUGUACUUGGUGUUACUGCGAAGGGGGGACGGAGAAGGCUAUGUUGGCCGGGCGACGGUUGUCCCGGUUUAAGCGUGUAGGCUGGUUUUCCAGGCAAAUCCGGAAAAUCAAGGCUGAGGCGUGAUGACGAGGCACUACGGUGCUGAAGCAACAAAUGCCCUGCUUCCAGGAAAAGCCUCUAAGCAUCAGGUAACAUCAAAUCGUACCCCAAACCGACACAGGUGGUCAGGUAGAGAAUACCAAGGCGCUUGAGAGAACUCGGGUGAAGGAACUAGGCAAAAUGGUGCCGUAACUUCGGGAGAAGGCACGCUGAUAUGUAGGUGAAGUCCCUCGCGGAUGGAGCUGAAAUCAGUCGAAGAUACCAGCUGGCUGCAACUGUUUAUUAAAAACACAGCACUGUGCAAACACGAAAGUGGACGUAUACGGUGUGACGCCUGCCCGGUGCCGGAAGGUUAAUUGAUGGGGUCAGCGCAAGCGAAGCUCUUGAUCGAAGCCCCGGUAAACGGCGGCCGUAACUAUAACGGUCCUAAGGUAGCGAAAUUCCUUGUCGGGUAAGUUCCGACCUGCACGAAUGGCGUAAUGAUGGCCAGGCUGUCUCCACCCGAGACUCAGUGAAAUUGAACUCGCUGUGAAGAUGCAGUGUACCCGCGGCAAGACGGAAAGACCCCGUGAACCUUUACUAUAGCUUGACACUGAACAUUGAGCCUUGAUGUGUAGGAUAGGUGGGAGGCUUGGAAGUGUGGACGCCAGUCUGCAUGGAGCCGACCUUGAAAUACCACCCUUUAAUGUUUGAUGUUCUAACGUUGACCCGUAAUCCGGGUUGCGGACAGUGUCUGGUGGGUAGUUUGACUGGGGCGGUCUCCUCCUAAAGAGUAACGGAGGAGCACGAAGGUUGGCUAAUCCUGGUCGGACAUCAGGAGGUUAGUGCAAUGGCAUAAGCCAGCUUGACUGCGAGCGUGACGGCGCGAGCAGGUGCGAAAGCAGGUCAUAGUGAUCCGGUGGUUCUGAAUGGAAGGGCCAUCGCUCAACGGAUAAAAGGUACUCCGGGGAUAACAGGCUGAUACCGCCCAAGAGUUCAUAUCGACGGCGGUGUUUGGCACCUCGAUGUCGGCUCAUCACAUCCUGGGGCUGAAGUAGGUCCCAAGGGUAUGGCUGUUCGCCAUUUAAAGUGGUACGCGAGCUGGGUUUAGAACGUCGUGAGACAGUUCGGUCCCUAUCUGCCGUGGGCGCUGGAGAACUGAGGGGGGCUGCUCCUAGUACGAGAGGACCGGAGUGGACGCAUCACUGGUGUUCGGGUUGUCAUGCCAAUGGCACUGCCCGGUAGCUAAAUGCGGAAGAGAUAAGUGCUGAAAGCAUCUAAGCACGAAACUUGCCCCGAGAUGAGUUCUCCCUGACUCCUUGAGAGUCCUGAAGGAACGUUGAAGACGACGACGUUGAUAGGCCGGG